AUUGUUUAUGGACUCAGCGCUGCAGUUUAACCCUGUUGUUUAACCUCUGUUGUUUACCUCUGUUGUUCACUUUAUCUGCACUGUUUGUUCCUGUAACCGGGUCAAACUGUUUGUGAGACAACUGUUAAUAAAGUUAGUUAUUAGUUAGCAGCCUGCAGGCUAACGGGAGCUAACGGGAGCUAACAGCAGCUGAAGUGAAUUAAUUUAUUAUCUGUGUUUGCUGCAGUUUCAUUGAUCUCUAAAGACUCUGGACUCUGACUGAAGGAGGAGAUGUUGUCAGUCAUGACCAGGUCAGCUCUCUCGAAAUACAGCGGGUUGUGGCUGCCCCGUCAGGCUGCGGUCAGGGCCAUGUCGUCUCCAGCUGGUCCCAGUCCUCCUUACACCACCCUGGCCAUCAGUCACCCAGCAGAGUUCGUCACACACGUAGAGCUUCACCGUCCUAAGAAACUCAACGCCAUGAACAAAGCUUUCUGGAGUGAGAUGGUGGAUUGCUUUAAUGAGAUUGCUGGGAACCCAGAAUGCCGAGUGGUGGUGGUUUCUGGAGCGGGGAAGAUCUUCACAGCCGGUAUCGACCUGAUGGACAUGGCCAGCGACGUACUCCAACCAGAGGGCGACGACACGGCACGAGUUUCCUGGAACCUCCGGAAAAUAAUCACCAAGUAUCAAGAGACGUUCUCCGUUAUAGAGAAGUGUCCAAAGCCUGUUGUAGUGGCCGUCCAUGGAUCCUGUAUUGGUGGAGGUGUUGACCUGAUCACAGCCUGUGACAUUCGCCUGUGUACCCAGGACACCUGGUUCCAGGUAAAGGAAGUUGAUAUUGGACUUGCAGCAGACGUUGGAACUCUCCAGAGACUUCCUAAAGUCAUCGGCAGCGCCAGUCUAGUGAAUGAGUUGGCUCUGACUGCCAGGAAGUUGUACGCAGAUGAAGCCAAAAGCAGCGGACUGGUCAGCCGAGUGUUUACAGAUAAGGAGGCAAUGAUGGCCGGCGCUCUGGAGAUUGCUGGUGAGAUUGCUGCCCGGAGCCCUGUCGCUGUGCAGGGCACCAAAAUCAACCUCAUCUAUGCCAGAGACCACAGCGUAGCAGAAGGACUCGACUACAUGGCGACCUGGAACAUGAGCAUGCUUCAGACUCAAGAUGUGAUGAAAUCAGCUCAGGCCGCGAUGGAGAAGAAGAGUCCCAAGACGAUCGUUUUCUCCAAACUCUAAAACGUCACUGAGCCAAAGUUCAGAUACACAAACACAAAAGCUGCCAUGUUAUUUCUCCACUGUGGCCUUUCUGUGGGAACGGGAACUACGUUGUAACAGGAUCUGUAUUAUUGUUGUUUGGCCUCUGAAACAGCAUUUUGAUAACAGGAUACCAUACUUUGUAAUGAAACUAAUGAAUCAAAAAACCAACCAUGUGUGGAGCCAGAAUCAUAACUUAGUUCAGGUUAACCUCUUCAACUGUGUCAUGUAAAAAUGGAUGAGUUAAUUCUGAACUGACCUCACUUUCACAGCUCAUUUCUGUAAAAAAGGUUAUGUAUAUCUUUAAAUGACUUCAUGAAUGUUUUCUUAUUAAAUAAACUUAUCUGAAAGUCA